UACGUAGGUGGCGAGCGUUGUCCGGAUUUACUGGGCGUAAAGAGCGCGCAGGCGGUCGAAUAAGUCGAAUGUGAAAGCCCCCCGGCUCAACUGGGGAGGGUCAUUCGAUACUGCUCGACUUGAAGGCAGGAGAGGGAAGUGGAAUUCCCGGUGUAGUGGUGAAAUGCGUAGAUAUCGGGAGGAACACCAGUGGCGAAGGCGACUUCCUGGCCUGUUCUUGACGCUGAGGCGCGAAAGCUGGGGGAGCAAACGGGG
rnacentral:rRNA from 1 species